CCUACGGGCGGCAGCAGUGGGGAAUAUUGGACAAUGGGGGCAACCCUGAUCCAGCCGUGCCGCGUGUGUGAAGAAGGCCCUCGGGUUGUAAAGCACUUUCAGUGAGGAAGAACGCCUGGUGGUUAAUACCCAUCAGGAAAGACAUCACUCACAGAAGAAGCACCGGCUAACUCCGUGCCAGCAGCCGCGGUAAUACGGAGGGUGCGAGCGUUAAUCGGAAUUACUGGGCGUAAAGCGCGCGUAGGUGGCUUGAUAAGCCGGUUGUGAAAGCCCCGGGCUCAACCUGGGAACGGCAUCCGGAACUGUCAAGCUAGAGUGCAGGAGAGGAAGGUAGAAUUCCCGGUGUAGCGGUGAAAUGCGUAGAGAUCGGGAGGAAUACCAGUGGCGAAGGCGGCCUUCUGGACUGACACUGACACUGAGGUGCGAAAGCGUGGGUAGCAAACAGGAUUAGAUACCCUAGUAGUC
rnacentral:rRNA from 1 species